AGGGUUCGAUUCUGGCUCAGAACGAACGCUGGCGGCGCGCUUAAGCAUGCAAGUCGAACGGCAAGAGGUAGCAAUACCUCCUAGAGUGGCGGACUGGUGAGUAACACGUGGGUGACAUACCCUUCAGAUGGGGAUAGCUAUUAGAAAUAGUAGAUAAUACCGAAUACGAGCACAGGGGUUAGAGAUCUGUGAGGAAAGGAGCUAAGGCUCCGCUGAAGGAAUGGCCUGCGGCCCAUUAGCUAGUUGGUGAGGUAAGAGCCCACCAAGGCGAUGAUGGGUAUCCGGCCUUAGAGGGUGAACGGACACAUUGGGACUGAGAUACGGCCCAGACUCCUACGGGAGGCAGCAGCUAAGAAUAUUCCGCAAUGGACGAAAGUCUGACGGAGCGACGCCGCCGUGGAUGAAGAAGGCCGGAAGGUUGUAAAAUCCUUUUGAAACUGAAGAAUAAGCGUUGUAGGGAAUGACAGCGUGGUGACAGUAGGUUUUGAAUAAGCAACGGCUAAUUACGUGCCAGCCGCCGC
rnacentral:rRNA from 1 species